rnacentral:misc_RNA from 1 species
GAUGAAGAACGUAGCGAAAUGCGAUAAGUAAUGUGAAUUGCAGAAUUCAGUGAAUCAUCGAAUCUUUGAACGCACCUUGCGCCUUUUGGUAUUCCGAAAGGCACACCUGUUUGAGCGUCAUGAAUACCUCAAUCUCCAUCUUUUCUUCGGAUUGAUGGGUGACUUGGAUGUUGAGCCCUGCUGGUAUGCUAUAUCAGCUGGCUUUAAACUUAUUAGCCGGCUCUGUACUGGAUCGGUUUGACUCGACGUGAUAAUAUUAUCGUUGAGGAUGCAUGUCUCAUGCAGCCGGAAAGUAUCAAAGCAGCUUCUAGCUUGCCAUUAGUGCACUUUUACAUUUUAGACCUCAGAUCAGGUGGGACUACCCGCUGAACUUAAGCAUAUCAAUAAGCGGAGGA